CUCGCGGGCAAAGACUUGUGUUUCUUGAGCUGCUCCAUUGACAAAACCGUACAUGUGUUUGUUGUUAAAGAUAGAGGUGGAGUGAUAACCAGAGAGUGGCAGAUGAUCAGCAGAAGCAGACAGUAACCAGAUGGCCAUAGGUCAACUGGCCACUAUGGGAAAACAGCAAAGUGUAUCAGGAUACAGGAUGUUCCAUGGAUUGCGUUCUCUCACAACGGUCUCGUCCCCAAUUCAAACCUCCUGUGGGUUAUGAAGCCGAUAUACGGUUUCUACCUCAGCCACCUGACCAUGAAAAGAGUGUCUGACUAUGGAGAGAGGAGGAGGGUCAGUGACACCAGCCAGGGGCACUAGCUGACAAACUGCUGUUACUGAGCACACCAGAGGCAGGGGAAGAAAAAAAGAAAAAAUGGUGGUGGAGGGACAAGAAAGAUGACAGCAGGUGAUAGAGCUCGUUCUCAUAACAUUUUUUCUUCAUGUUAAUUUAAACAGUUUAGAUCAGAGCAGUCAGUCUCUGCAAAAGGAACUUGAAUUGGCGUAUCAUACAAUAGAAUGAUGAAUGGUAACACGUAGUGUAUUUCACAACAUUUGUCAAACAGUCCAUGUCAAGACUGUAUUAUGGGUUCAGAGGAAAUUUUGGUAUCCUAUUACGUUCACCAUUGUUAUGACUUUAUGAGCCAGGUUUUACAGAACGGCACAAAAGGAAGCUUGUCGAAUUAUUGGCUAUUUACCACAAACAGUAAUUUGCGCAACAAUGCCGUGCCAUUCACUCCAUAACUUGCCUGAUAUUGUGUAUCUAUGCUCAUAAUUAGCACUACAAUUGUCGAGAUUGUCCUUGAGGGAACAUACUGUAUUAUGCAGUUUUUAGCUAGAAAAGACAUUAAACCUUAGAGCUAACGCCACCAGCCGAAAAAGA